rnacentral:tRNA from 1 species
UUACGACUGCUGGUGCACAAACGAUGUUCCUGCCGACACCGCUUCCAAAUCCAAUUGCAACACAGGCUGUCCU